AUGAACGCUGGCGGCGUGCUUAACACAUGCAAGUCGAACGGGAAACCUUUUAUUGAAGCUUCGGCAGAUUUAGAUUGUUUCUAGUGGCGGACGGGUGAGUAACGCGUGGGUAACCUGCCUUAUACAGGGGGAUAACAGUCAGAAAUGACUGCUAAUACCGCAUAAGCGCACAGAGCUGCAUGGCUCGGUGUGAAAAACUCCGGUGGUAUAAGAUGGACCCGCGUUGGAUUAGCUAGUUGGUGAGGUAACGGCCCACCAAGGCGACGAUCCAUAGCCGGCCUGAGAGGGUGAACGGCCACAUUGGGACUGAGACACGGCCCAGACUCCUACGGGAGGCAGCAGUGGGGAAUAUUGCACAAUGGGGGAAACCCUGAUGCAGCGACGCCGCGUGAAGGAAGAAGUAUCUCGGUAUGUAAACUUCUAUCAGCAGGGAAGAAAAUGACGGUACCUGACUAAGAAGCCCCGGCUAACUACGUGCCAGCAGCCGCGGUAAUACGUAGGGGGCAAGCGUUAUCCGGAUUUACUGGGUGUAAAGGGAGCGUAGACGGAUGGACAAGUCUGAUGUGAAAGGCUGGGGCUCAACCCCGGGACUGCAUUGGAAACUGCCCGUCUUGAGUGCCGGAGAGGUAAGCGGAAUUCCUAGUGUAGCGGUGAAAUGCGUAGAUAUUAGGAGGAACACCAGUGGCGAAGGCGGCUUACUGGACGGUAACUGACGUUGAGGCUCGAAAGCGUGGGGAGCAAACAGGAUUAGAUACCCUGGUAGUCCACGCGGUAAACGAUGAAUGCUAGGUGUCGGGGAGCAAAGCUCUUCGGUGCCGCCGCAAACGCAUUAAGCAUUCCACCUGGGGAGUACGUUCGCAAGAAUGAAACUCAAAGGAAUUGACGGGGGCCCGCACAAGCGGAGGAACAUGUGGUUUAAUUCGAUGAUACGCGAGGAACCUUACCCGGGUUUGAACGCAUUCGGACCGAGGUGGAAACACCUUUUCUAGCAAUAGCCGUUUGCGAGGUGCUGCAUGGUUGUCGUCAGCUCGUGUCGUGAGAUGUUGGGUUAAGUCCCGCAACGAGCGUAACCCCUAUCCCCAGUAGCCAGCGGUUCGGCCGGGCACUCUGAGGAGACUGCCAGGGAUAACCUGGAGGAAGGCGGGGAUGACGUCAAAUCAUCAUGCCCCUUAUGAUUUGGGCUACACACGUGCUACAAUGGCGUAAACAAAGGGAAGCGAACCUGCGAGGGUGGGCAAAUCCCAAAAAUAACGUCCCAGUUCGGACUGUAGUCUGCAACCCGACUACACGAAGCUGGAAUCGCUAGUAAUCGCGGAUCAGAAUGCCGCGGUGAAUACGUUCCCGGGUCUUGUACACACCGCCCGUCACACCAUGGGAGUCAGUAACGCCCGAAGUCAGUGACCUAACCGCAAGGAAGGAGCUGCCGAAGGCGGGACCGAUGACUGGGGUG
rnacentral:rRNA from 1 species